rnacentral:piRNA from 1 species
GAGGAACAAACGGACGAGGACGA